UAGCGGGAGCUUAGUGCACCGGGCUGCCUUCUUUUUUUCUUGUUGGUAAUUCCUUGAAAAUUUGAAGGAAAUGUUAUGAAAAAAAGUUAAGUUUAACCAUCUAGCUCUUCCUGAUUGCUUAAACAUUUUAGGCCAGAGACAGAGGAGGAAAAGAAUCUGAAGGAAGAAAUAGAACAUCUCAGAAAGGAAGCUAUGCAGAGCUCGGGUCAUGACCAGACUAAUUUACAGAAUGUGAUUAAUCCGAAAGACAGGGACUUGGAACUGCUGAUCCGUGAUUUGGAUGACAAAGUUCGUUUCGGUCAGAAAAGGCCAGGCUCUGCGUCAGGCAGGGAAAGGAACCUGAAGGAAGAAAUAGAACAGCUCAGAAAGGAAGCUAUGCAGAGCUCGGGUCAGGACCAG
rnacentral:lncRNA from 1 species